rnacentral:lncRNA from 1 species
GCACUGCUCACCAUGCGCCCGAGGCUGCUGCUGUCUGCUGCUGUUUCUGGGGUCCCACACAUCGUCCAAACAUCCUAUGAUGUGCGCUUUCUAGGAAGGUACUCUCAGGAUGCAUAGCUCCUCAUAUACAGCUGUUCCUAACCAGCUGUUUGUUCCAGUGGCAGGUGGAUAGCACAGCCUGGGCAGGCCCCACAGGCAGAAGGAGCAGGG